rnacentral:rRNA from 1 species
GAUGAACGCUGACAGAAUGCUUAACACAUGCAAGUCAACUUGAACUUCGGUUUGGGUGGCGGACGGGUGAGUAACGCGUAAAGAACUUGCCUCACAGAUAGGGACAACAUUUGGAAACGAAUGCUAAUACCUGAUAUUAUGAUUAUAUGGCAUCGGAUAAUUAUGAAAGCUAUAUGCGCUGUGAGAGAGCUUUGCGUCCCAUUAGCUAGUUGGAGAGGUAACGGCUCACCAAGGCGAUGAUGGGUAGCCGGCCUGAGAGGGUGAUCGGCCACAAGGGGACUGAGACACGGCCCUUACUCCUACGGGAGGCAGCAGUGGGGAAUAUUGGACAAUGGACCAAGAGUCUGAUCCAGCAAUUCUGUGUGCACGAUGAAGUUUUUCGGAAUGUAAAGUGCUUUCAGUUGGGAAGAAAAAAAUGACGGUACCAACAGAAGAAGUGACGGCUAAAUACGUG